AGAAAACAAAAAACCACAAUGGGAAAAUAAAUCACAUAAUAAAAUAGAUAAAAAUGAUAAACUAAUGCAUAAUGUAAAAAAAAUUAAGUAUACUAAUAAUACAGAUAGAACAAACAGAAAAGGUGCUUCUAACAGUGCAAGCAAUAAAAAUAGUUCUAAUAAUAAUACUAAUAAUAGUAGUAAUAGUAAAGUGGUGAUGGAAAACAAAAAAAAAUUAACAGGAAGAAGUUUAAAUUAUGAAAAUAUAAUAAAAUGUAAUGAUGAUCAAUUAAAGUAUACAUGCUCUGCAACCGAUUUGAAUAAUAAAAACAAAUCAAUGGAACAAGCUUCCUGUAAAAAUUUCGAAGACGAGCAUUUGCAAUAUCAAAAAAAGUAUUUCUAUAUGGAAAACGAUUAUAUUAAAAAUAGUGUUAACAGUAGCAAUGUAUUUACUGAUAACAAACAUUUAAACAUAGAGACAGCCGACGAUUGUGCACUUAGUAAAAUGCACAACAAUAUAACUGAAAAUGCAAGUAAUAAAAAUAAUAAUAAACAUAAAAAUGAUAAUGAUAUACGUAAUAACUUCAACAAUAGUACAUGUGAUGAAAGUCAUAGUAAAAUGACUAACACAACACAUAAUGUAGCUAGUGAUGUUAUGAAUAAAAACUUUAGUAAUGGCACAAAAAACGGCUUAAGUAAUUACAUAAACAACAGCGUAAGUAACGACAUAAAUAACAACGUUAGUAAUGAUAUACAAAUUAAGAAUAACGACAAAUGUGAUGUUACGAAUGUUUCUAAAACAAAAAAUAAUGCAGAUAAUUGGUGGUGGCAUGAAACUAAGCAAUCUUCUAAUUUAUGGGAUCUUUUGAAAAAUAAUUUAAAAAAUGUAUUUUCCAAAAAUGAUGAUACUAUUUAUAUGAACGUGGAUGAAAAUCACCAAAGCACUAAAAAUAAUGAAAAAGAAGAAACACUUGGAUUGUUAUUAGAAAGAACAACUAAAACAAAAAACAAAAAUGAAAAACAGUUCCCAUUGUCUAAUGAUACUUAUGUAAAAUGUUUAAACUUUUUA
rnacentral:lncRNA from 1 species